UACGGAGGUGGCAAGCGUUGCUCGGAAUCACUGGGCGUAAAGGGCGCGUAGGCGGGGAGGUAAGUCGGGUGUGAAAUCCCUCGGCCCAACCGAGGAACUGCGCCCGAGACUGCUUCUCUUGAGUCCCGGAGAGGAAGAUGGAAUUCCCGGUGUAGCGGUGAAAUGUGUAGAGAUCGGGAGGAACACCGGUGGCGAAGGCGGUCUUCUGGACGGUGACUGACGCUGAGGCGCGAAAGCGUGGGGAGCAAAC
rnacentral:rRNA from 1 species